rnacentral:snoRNA from 1 species
GAUCUGGUGAUGAGGGCAACUUUCACAAAAUCUCUUUAACCUCUCUCAGUACUCAUACAAGCUCUCACCAUGUUGCUGCCUAAUUCAAGAAAGGUAUUUUCUGAUU